rnacentral:snoRNA from 1 species
GAGGAGGCUGUGAUGUUGCAAAAACUACCUAUUUUCUGAGGAAAGAUCUUUCCUUUGAUUAUAGAUACCAAUGGAUCCUUCUGAGCUCUUCU